GGGGAUGAAAGGCCUCGACAGGGUUUUUAUUCCGUUUGGAUGCUAAGCAUGGAUGAGCGUUAACCAUGUAAAUUAUCCGUUCAAAAUAUAUAACUGGCAAUCAAAAUACCGGUUACGCUUUCGCCUAAAACGUGAGAGCCAUCUCAUCCGUGAUGCUCACUAACGGGUUAUGAGGUGUCAUACAGCGAGCUUGGCCAAGUGUUUUUCUUUCCGACACGCGGCGACACAAUCGAAAAGAUAGCGGCAGUUUAUUUUGCUGAUUUACUACGCUGCCGUGAAAAAAAUAAAUCGGAUAUCUUAGUAGAAAUCUGAUGGUCAGACUCUGGACGCGGUUUCAAUACCGCCAUCUCCACAU
rnacentral:tmRNA from 7 species